rnacentral:rRNA from 1 species
UGGCUAAGGCAUGCAAGUCUACGGGACAUGUAGGGUAGCAAUAUUCUGCGUGUUCAGUGGCGGACGGGUCAGUAAUGCAUGGUUAACGUACCUCGGACACAGGCAUAGCGGCGGGCGCAAGCCCUUAGCGAAAGUGCCGGUAAUUCCUGAUGACAUCCGUGUCCGGCAUCGGACGCGGAUCAAAAGAUGGGGACCUUCGGGCCUAUCGGUCUGUGUGCGGACCAUGUCCUAUCAGCUAGUUGGUGAGGUAACGGCCACCAAGGCUUAGACGGGUAGCGGGCGUGAGAGCGUGACCCGCGACAUCGGAACUGAGACACUGUCCGGACACCUACGGGUGGCUGCAGCAACGAAUAUUCCGCAAUGGGCGAAAGCCUGACGGAGCGACGCCGCGUCCCGGGAUGAAGUCCUUCGGGAUGUAAACCGGAAUAGUCUGUCAACAAGCAACUCGGGCUAAUAUCCCGGGACGUUGAGUAGCAGAUGAAAGGGACGGCUAACUCCGUGCCAGCAGCCGC